GCAGCUUUGGAGAAACAGUAACAGAGACAAUGGAAUUCCUAGGGGAGAGAUUAGAUUAGAGAUUAGAAUUUUUUUAUAACAGCCAGCCUUCUGGAGAGAAGAAGGGUUCCUUCCUGGACUCAGGCUCCUAGCUGGAUAUGAACUUCUAAGUGACUUCUGGAACCAAACCUUAUGGAGAGAAGAGAGAUGAGCAUAUGGCCCCAAAGUAAAGGAGUAGCAAAGAACUGAGCCACCAUGUGAGAAAGGGAGCUUUAUCCUCAUCCUUCAUUACUAUGGGGCCCAUACCAAAACUGUAUUCUGCUGUUCCCUGGGGAUAUUCUGGUUGGAGGCAAGAUCCAAAGAGUCAUUUGUGGGAAGCUCUGGAAUACUGAAGCAGAGUGAUGCUGAAUUUUCUUCAGACUGGAAUACACAGGAGAGUUGAAGGGCUUAUAAAGCAGUUUUAUGAAGAUGACAUGUUUUUUUAAUUAAUAGAGACCCACGUAUCAGAAGAUAUGGGAUCAAAUGCACUGACUACCAGUAGAAGUAUGAUCAUGAGUAAUAAUAAUAAUAAUAAUUCUUUUAUCUCACCCUCACAAGAACCCUGAGAAGUAGUACUGCCCAUUUUAUUUAAUUUUAUUUUUUCUGGGUUAUACAUAUUAUUAUAUUAUACAUAUAUUAUCACACAAAACCUAAUUCCAUAUUACUCAUUUUUG
rnacentral:lncRNA from 1 species